AGAGGUACAGCUCAGCGGUAGAGUGCAUGCCUAGUAUGCACAAAGUCCUGGGUUCAAUCCCCAGUAUCUCCA
rnacentral:tRNA from 1 species